UUUUGGGCGAUGCUUCGAUAUGAAGCCAAAAAUCCGAUGUAAAAUUUAAGCACAAAAGAUGAGUACGCCACUGGUAAAACUACAUUUAAAAGAGUCGAGAAAUGAAAAACUUAUCGCGUCCAACGCAUAAAAUGUGCAAAAACUUGUGUUAUCGCCAGUGCGCUGUAUUACGGUGCAGAUUAGUUCGGCUUUGAUUUGUGAGUCAGCGCAUCAUGAUCAUGAGAAAUCACACAAAUCUUAAAAUGACCGAUAUGGUCCAGUGUUACGGAAGUGCAGAUGGUGUUGUUUUAAGUGUUCACACAUUGUUCCGCGAAAAAAGUCCGUCGUGACCAGUUUUGUUUCGGUUUGUUUUGUACGUAAUCAGCGUGAAAUUCACAAAUAAGGGCCUCGAACGUCGUCUUCUUGAGAUUGUGGAAAAAAUUCCCUCAAUAAGUACCUGGCAGUUAACUCCCCAGCUUCAGAGUAAGGGUUGCGACCUUGCACCAAGUCGAAGGACAAGUCGCAUAUUGGAAGUCAAGGUGGACUUUGUGAACAAUUUUUGUAAAUGAAAACCUAGCACCACACCCUUCACACAGAUGAGGCUUUAUCCCCGUAUGGAUGGUACUGUGCGUAAUCAGACUUUCCCUAUACGCGAAAGCUUUGGGACAAUACAAGCAAGCAAAAGGCUUCUCUCCGGUGUGACUACGUUCAUGGAUCUUCAGCUGUCCCUUCCAGUGGAAACUUUUGGCACAGAACUUGCACAGGAGCUUCUUCUCCGGAUCGUGCACCCGCAUGUGGUUGUUCCUGGUGUAAACACUGGAGAACUGUUUCUGGCAGAUGGAGCAUUCGUAAAAGGGGCCUUUAUCACAGUUUCGCUCUUCGUGGGCUUUCAGGUGUUGGCAAAGGAUUUGGCGGGAAAACAAGGCGGCACCAGAGGCACAACUAUGGCGGCAGCUUGGAGAGGAAGACGACACGGUGUCCUGACUUGUAUUACGAAAUUUUCAAAAAUAAAUGAAUUUUGUAUGUCUCGUAA